rnacentral:rRNA from 1 species
GGAAUAUUGGACAAUGGGCGAAAGCCUGAUCCAGCCCCGCCGCGUGAGUGAUUAAGGCCUUCGGGUCGUAAAGCCCUGUGGGGAGGGACGAACCCUCCAAGGUGAAUAGCCUUGGAGUUGACGGUACCUCCCUAGCAAGCACCGGCUAACUACGUGCCAGCAGCCGCGGUAAUACGGCGGGUGCAACCGUUGCUCGGAAUCAUUGGGCGUAAAGCGCACGUAGGCGGUCCGGUAAGUCGGAUGUGAAAGCCCUCGGCUCAACCGAGGAAGUGCAUUCGAAACUGCCGGACUUGAGUACGGGAGGGGGCUGCGGAAUUCCCGGUGUAGAGGUGAAAUUCGUAGAUAUCGGGAGGAACACCAGUGGCGAAGGCGGCAGCCUGGACCGAUACUGACGCUGAGGUGCGAAAGCGUGGGGAGCAAAC